GACGAACGCUGGCGGCGUGCCUAAUACAUGCAAGUCGAACGCACUCUCGUUUAGAUUGAAGGAGCUUGCUCCUGAUUGAUAAACAUUUGAGUGAGUGGCGGACGGGUGAGUAACACGUGGGUAACCUGCCCUAAAGUGGGGGAUAACAUUUGGAAACAGAUGCUAAUACCGCAUAAAACCUAAACACCGCAUGGUGUAGGGUUGAAAGAUGGUUUCGGCUAUCACUUUAGGAUGGACCCGCGGUGCAUUAGUUAGUGGUGAGGUAAAGGCUCACCAAGACCGUGAUGCAUAGCCGACCUGAGAGGGUAAUCGGCCACACUGGGACUGAGACACGGCCCAGACUCCUACGGGAGGCAGCAGUAGGGAAUCUUCCACAAUGGACGAAAAGUCUGAUGGAGCAAACGCCGCGUGAGUGAAGAAGGUUUUCGGAUCGUAGAACUCUGUUGUUGGAGAAAGGAAAUGGUAAUUUGAUAGUAACUGAUCAGGUAGUGACGGUAUCCAA
rnacentral:rRNA from 1 species